CUGCAGUAUUUGUUUGGUCGACAUACCACGUUGGUUGUCGUAAAGUGCGGUAUUUGAGUUAUAUUUUAGAAGAGCCUAGACAAAAUGUGCUCCUUGCCGUGUGCAGUAGCCAUCGCAAACCCUCCGGACUCGUGUAACGCCGUUAGUUCGCCGUGUGUUUCGUGCGAUCUACCAGUGUCGACAGUGAGUGUUACUAGAGCGCCCGUCCGAGCUGCCUUUGUUCUGCCCACGACCGGCUUAUAAAGCCGGUCGUGGUUCUGCCAAGCUGCCUGCCCGCGCUCCCGUGAAAAGUCUGGUACUGGAGCUUCGAAUCGUAGUGUAUGGAAGGCUGUUGAAGGUUGUGCUUUUGUGGAGCUGGAGUUCAUCGGAAGUUCUACAGUGCUUGCGCCAGAAAGACGUCGGUGCCUCGGUACCUUUGAGACGAAGGAGCGUUGGCCAAGUCUUUUUGAAAGGCUAUGCGGUUUCUGGAGGCAUCCCUACAUCGAGCAGGAAUCUGCUGCACUGCUGGAAGCUGGACAGCACGACAAUAAAGCACGUGAUCUGCGUGCUUUCUCAAAGGUAGACAUCGACGACGGUGUACAUGUUGAAAAGGGCCUGCUGAAGAGGCUGCGCCUGGAUGCUAACAACUCGGGCUUUCAGUUUGCGGGGGGCCUCCUUAAGGCUCCUUUUACAAAAGAAGAGGUUGAAGGGAGGCGCUACACAUGGAUGCGCAGCGAUUGUUUGUGACAGCGUCACUGCUGGCAGGCCUGGCCUGCCUUUUCGCUUUGUUCUGGGUCUUCCACGUUAUCUACUCGAAAAAGGCCCACAGGAUUUUGACAUUUAUUGAGCACUGCUUUCUGGAUUUUUGCUACACAAAGCCGCAGGUGAUAGCAUUGGAUUUAGUCAAUUUUUACAAGAACUAUUGCUAGGCAAAAAAAUUUUCAGAUGCAUAUCCUCAAGAAAGUUUCUGUCAAAAUUAUUUUGCCUAACAAAAGCACUCGUGGGUUCUGUGGCUGACAGGUUGCCCAAGCCAUGUAGCACAGUGCUUGCUUUAAAGGGACACGAAAAAGAAAAUUUGUUUGAGCUUUAUUAAAUCAUUCUUCUACAACACCGAAAAAACAACUCCCACCAUGAGAAUUGGCUUGAUAAGCCAGAUAACUUGCAAAAACGAAAACUGGUGCCGCCACCACCACCUUAUAGUUCCUGCACCAGCUCGCUGUGAUAUGGAAUUUGACGGUGUCUGUUCGGGUCUAGCUAAUGUUCUACUGGCCAAUAUUGAUGAAUUCUGUUGUAAAGGUGUCAAAGAAUAUACUUAGUUGAAGUAUGACUCCACACGGAUGUGCGGGCACUGCAUAAAACUUGAAAAAUGAAAGUUAAAUCUUCAUUUUCUCUUCUAAUAAUCCUCUUAUUGCCACAAUGUUCAUGAAUACAGUUCUGAAAGAUUGUUUUAUCAGUCUAAAAUGAUUUACUGUUUCACUUUAGUAUUUCUGUAAUGGACCUUCAGCAACAAAAUGUGUGUUAGUAUUCCACAGGUAUUCUCAGCGGGGGCAAAAGCACCAGCAGCAUGCUCAAUGAUUCUGUACCAACUGAUAACUUGAAGGAUAUCCUGUGCCACUAGGGUUAGGCCAACGUGGCUCUGUGUUAAUCAAGUGUAUUAUGCAAAACUUAAUGGCCCAGAAAUUGGUAAUUCAGGAGGGAGUUGAAUUAGCUAUUUUUUUUUCUUUAUCAUGGACUUCUCACAUUACACUUUGUCACAACGCAUUCACUUUAAAGUAACUGUGGAGAAUAAGGUGGUUUGGUAUUCAGACAUGCCUUCUGUGUGUAAACAGUGUUAGAUGAGCAAUACAAAGAUGCACCAUAGAUGCUGACUGGCAACAUGAAGGAGUUUGAGGGCAGCUACAAAUAUACAUCCUUGUAGUCGUACCUAUAGCACCAUGUUCAAUUUGUCACACAAGCAUAUGGCAUCCAUCACAACUGCAUGCCUAGAAACGGACAAGGGCAACACGCUCAAUUCCCUUUUAGUCUAUCUAAGAAGCACUACAAUUUUUAGGCAACGAAAUUGAAAUCUGGCUUGUACCCAUAAGUACUGCAAUACAGUUGUGCAACGUGUUCCUCUUGUGUGGAAAACGGGCUGCAUAUGUUUUCUUUGAGCACAAGGGGGAGUGGUAUCAGUUAGAGCCCCUCCAUCCACGUGCCACUGCCGCUUUCUUAGGUAGCGACAACCGUUGUUGUGCGCCGCCUUUUCCCCUCACACCAAAUCCAGUUCCAGCAUUUCCAGUUUAAAAGUUUCCGGUUCCGGCGUUACCGCUUCCUGAAGUUGUGCUGCGGGAAUUUCCGCUUUGACUGCCGAUGGUGAGACGCCCACGCGUGCUUAGCAGAGCUGUGGGAGUCACCAUGAGAAGAAUGCAAAGGCGACAAGCUGUUGUAUUCCGCUGAAGUAGUAAUUCGUGGUCGCUGUUUUCUAAAUGCACGAAAAACGGCAGUGGUCUCCAAGCGCCCAGGCACUACAUUCCACUGUACGUUGUCUCUCGUGGCACAACCCGUCGCAGGUUGAUGCGAAACAGCGAACACGAUCAGAUCGCUGAUUGCAAUAGGCGGUGGUACUUGGAUGGAAUCGCAUUCACAGUUUAAACCGCAGCUGGUGCAAUUAAAGCCUCUCCAUCGACGCGAAAGUAAACAACGUUAAGAAAAACAUAGCGUUACUUCCACUCGGAACAGGAAGCUGCAGCUACGGAAAUUCCGCUUGACACCGGAAACUAAGGGGGUGAGUGGCAGAGGAGCGUGGAGGAAGAGGGUAGGUUGGCGGUACUUAACCUGGUCGGCGGAAACGUGUAUGGAGGGGCUUUAGUAUCAGUUAAUGGCUGUUUUCACAUAUAUGUUUUGUCGUGUGUAUUAGCAAUCACCAUUUUCCUUAUCUGAGUGAGGUCAUUUUUUAGAAAGUUUGAAAGUUUAUAGAACAUGUUGCUCAUGGUUGUUGCAGUUUUCUUCCUAACUGUCCAUUCAUUGCACUGUGCACCCAUGUCUUGGGCAACUGGCUGUUUGAAGGUCAGUAUGCUAUCGAUGGGUCUAAUGGUAAUCUCUAGUGCCCUCUCAUUUGCUUGUUGCAAUACUGAAGAGUUUUGUAUAUUGUGUCACUUGUUUAUUUUCACUGUACUUUAGUUUCACUACAUCUUGAAUGUGUUGUGAUAGUUUUUCUUUUGCAAGGAAAGAUAUGGUGGACAGUUGCCAACACUAAUGUGAUAGUAUGAAUGCCUGCUGUAUUUAUCACGAUUGUUUCAUUUCGCUGGGGCACUAAUGGUCAUUAGCAGCAGAUGCUAGCUGCCCUUAAGUGCAAUGUUUUUAUGUUGCAUAGUAUUGUUCAUGAUCCAUUGAAUGCACUGCACGCGCAUGUUGUGGACAACUGCCUGUUUGAAGAAAUUGUCUGCAUAUUCAGUGGGUCUAAUGUGAACAUCUCUACUACUGACUUAGCUUCACUACAUCUUGAAUGUGUUGUGAUAGUUUUUAUUUUGCCGUGACAGAUGUGGUGGGCAGUUGCCGGCACUAAUGUGAUACAGUGAAAGCUCGUUAAUUCGAACUUCAAUAAUUCGAAUUUAUGGAUAAUUCAAACUGUGCGACUUGGUCCGGCCAAGCUCCAUAGAAGUCUAUGUAUAAAAAAGUCCGUUAAUUCGAACACGAGAAGGUUCCCUCACGGAUAAUUCGAACUACGCUCGCCUGGCACACGGCCAGAAAAACACGCCUACUGCCUACACACAAGGCUAUAUUGCCUCCGAAACGGAAAGAACGGCGAGAAAAGGCAAAAUCGUAAAAAAAUCUAACCUGCACGGGGUCAGCCAGAAGCCAGCGGCGGCUGCCGCCUCUCCGUUCUACGUAACCUCAGAGACUUCUUGCCCGUUGCGAAUCCCGGAGGCUUUAGAAAUCUUGUACAGCUGCUAAUGUUGUGCGAAGAUGGCACGGCAAACGCCAAAACACAGCGAAUCAAGUACGUCGCAGCUGCGCUUGCAAUCAAGAACCAACGAAUCAGGGCCUUCGCCACCUUCACGUGUUCAGCGUCUUUGUCUCGGCAGUCUUUAUCGGUUGUGCACCUCUGUUUUCAGAUUAGGAGGUAUCGGCCAUCGCGAUUCAUUGUGAUGGUGUUAAGCCUUGGCUAACGUUCGUUUCGGUGGACAUCGGUGGUGGGGCAGUCGGACCCAGAGCUUCGACUUGAAGAUGGCGUGUGCCCGCAGCAAACGCCAUCACUUUCUGACAUGGUCUACUGCUUCCAAAUCGCAGUGUACUGUUGCUCUCCUUCACUUUCGCUAGUUCGAACUUUCGUUAACUCGAACUCAAGCGGCUUCCCCUUGCGGUUCGAAUUAACGAGCUUUUACUGUAGUACGAAUGCUUGCUGUAUUUACCACAUGGUUGUUUCAUUUCGUCUGAGGCACUAGUGGCCGUUAGCAGCAGAUGUCAUGUGGCCUUAUGUGCAAUAUUUUUAUGUUGCAUAGUUUUGUCCAUAAUCAUCCAUUGAAUGCACUGCAGACCCAUGUUCUGGACAACUGCCUGUUUGAAGGAAUGAUCUGCAUAUUCAGUGUGUCUAAUGUCAACAUCUCUAGUACUGCCUCUGUAUUUGUGAGUUAGAUUUUGUAUUGUGUGUCAUUUUGUUUUCACUGUGCUUUAGUUUCACUACAUCGUGAAUGCGUUGAUAGUUUUCCUUUUGCAGUGAGAGAUAUGGUGGGCAGUGGCCGGCACUAAUAUGAUAGUACGAAUGCUUGCUGUAUUUACCACGUGGUUGUUUCAUUUUGUCUAGCGCAGUAAUGGCCAUUAGCAGCAGAUGCCAUUUGGCCUUAAGUGCAAUAUUUUUAUGUUGCAUAGUUAUGUUCAUACUAAUCCAUUGAAUGCACUGCACACCCAUGUUCUGGACAACUGCCUGUUUGAAGGAAUGACCUGCAUAUUCAGCGAGUUUUAUGUGAACGUCUCUAGUACUGACUGUAUAUUUAUCAGUUAGAUUUUAUAUUGUAUGUUGCUUGUUUUCACUGUACUUUAGUGGGAUUGCACAUUGAAUGUGUUGCGAUGUAUUUUAUUUUGCUAUGAGAGAUCUAAUGGGCAGUUACCAGCCCCCAGUCUGUGUGUUAGUACAAAUAUUUAUUAUGCUUAUCACAGUAUCUUAUAAAGCUAUA